UAGACAGAAGUGUCUAUGGCCCUCAGACCUGAGAAUAUGUUUUUAUAUGUGGGGCAGGCCCGUGGUGUAGUGAUCUAGACUGUUGAUCUGAUGGCCCAUUUUAGAAUUGGGAAUUUCCAAAAAAUCUCACUAAUGUGACAAUCCUAACUGAUUGGGAAGAAGAAACAACAACGGCCUACAUUUUUAGGGAAAAGGCCAGAGAUUGGAACGACUGGGAUCUUCCAAUCUUUUCAUGCCUUGUUUUGCAUCUAAAUAGGGCUGGGUAUUUGGGGAUCCUUUUUUUUUUGACUUUUGCCCCUUUGUUUUUCUAAAGACUAAAAACUUUGAUACUGGCAGUGUGCAAUGGAGGUUACGCAGGCACCUAGAUUACUUUAAAAUUGUGUACAUGGUGUACAGGUCAUUGAACUGUCCAAAUUAUGGCCCAGUUUAGAUGUAUAAUGAACAGAAAAGUUAUGCUUGUUUGAUCAUCUAUUGGUCUUGUGCUGAGUUAUUUGAUGGAAAUGAUGCCCAUGGAUCAGUAAUCCAGACCAUUCAUCCAUUGCAUCCCAGUGGACAGAUUGUGCCCUGAGAAUCCCCUGGAUUUGUUGCACCCUUUUAGCAACAAAUCUGGGACUUCUCUCAAUCGGAACUAACCACCUACAGGCACCUAUACUGCUAUAUGCAGUACAAGGCAUUUUUUAGCUCCGUGAUGUAAAAAAGGUUUUUUUUUUUCCUUUUCUUUUUCCAUUUCGUGGCUGAACACCCAUACUGCAAAUUGUGGUAGAGGUGCCUAGAGGUCAUCAGUUCUCUUUUUUAAUUCAGUGCGGGUCACUUGAUUCUCCUACUAUAGUCCACAAAUGGAAAUGUUAACAUUGUCUCACAGUAGUUUUUUUUUUUUGCUAGUUACGUUGUUUGUCGAAGAUCCUAAAAUUUGAUAUGGGUUACAGGAAUUUGCAACCCCAAACAAGUCACUGUUCCAAAAUUGAAAGCCUACCUAAUGAUUUGCAGCCCCAAACAAAUCACCAAAGAAGAAACUGAUGUAUCGACUCACCAAUUGAAAGUUUCCCUAUGCAGAGAUAGACAUGCUCUAGGGAGUAACAUGAAGAAAACGUAGAAUCAGUAUAUGUAGGGAGUAACAUGAAGAAAACGUAGAAACAGGUCCCCUGGAAAUGUGUAUGUUGAAGGCGAUGCAUCAAGUAUGAGUUAUUUCCUAGCAGGCGCAGCAGUCAUCGGUGGCACUGUCACAGUUGAAGGUUGCAACACAAGAAGUUUACAGAAUCAAACUGGAUGCAGUUGCUUCUCAUAAGGAACACAUAAAUCUAGAGCAAUGGCUGAACAAAAAUCUGAGCACAUACAAGGAUACUUUUUCGAGGAUUGCCUCAAGUUCUUAAAAGAAAUACCUUCUGCAGCAACAAAUGAUGCAUCUGCCAAUCCUUUCCAACAUUCCAGCUCUGUCAUGAAUCUUUAUCUAGAGACGAGUUCUACUCUUUUGAAGGUCCUUCAAGCCCAUUCUGGCUAGCUCAUCUCCCACCAACUUUCUGAGGAAUUGAGAAGGUUGCAGGCAUCAUCUGUGCAUGUUAAUCCAAGAUUGCAAAAUGGUGGAGGUACAAAUUCAUCAACACAUGAUGCACCAUAUCUGAUUAUUCACUGGCCUCUUUAGAUCAAUAGAAAAUAAUCUUUUUUAGCAUCUCUUGUCCAAACACAGUUCAAAAUUAGAAAAUGUCGACUGCCGUUGAUAGUGAAGAGGAAGAAGAUAAGGUGCUCGAGCUGAAAGAAUGA